CAGGAUGAACGCUAGCGGCAGGCUUAACACAUGCAAGUCGAGGGGCAUCGGGAGUAGCAAUACUUGCCGGCGACCGGCGCAAGGGUGCGUAACGCGUGAGCAACAUGCCCGUAUCAGGGGGAUAAUCCAUGGAAACGUGGUCUAAUACCCCAUAGUAAUUAUGUAAGGCAUCUUAUAUAAUUUAAAGCUUUGGUGGAUACGGAUUGGCUCGCGUGACAUUAGCUAGAUGGUAAGGUAACGGCUUACCAUGGCUACGAUGUCUAGGGGUUCUGAGAGGAAGGUCCCCCACACUGGAACUGAGACACGGUCCAGACUCCUACGGGAGGCAGCAGUGAGGAAUAUUGGACAAUGGAUGGAAAUCUGAUCCAGCCAUGCCGCGUGCCAGGAAGACGGCCCUAUGGGUUGUAAACUGCUUUUGUAUGGGAGCAAUAAGGGCUACGCGUAGUCCGAUGAGAGUACCAUACGAAUAAGCACCGGCUAACUCCGUGCCAGCCGCUGC
rnacentral:rRNA from 1 species